rnacentral:tRNA from 1 species
AAAGAUAUAGCUUGAAUAGCAUUUCAGUUACAUUGAGAGGAUCCUAUAAUAGGUGUUUUUA